CACGUAGGGGGCAAGCGUUGUCCGGAUUUAUUGGGCGUAAAGAGCUCGUAGGCGGUUCGGUAAGUCGGGUGUGAAACCUCCAGGCUCAACCUGGAGUCGCCACUCGAUACUGCUGUGACUAGAGUCCGGUAGGGGAGCGUGGAAUUCCUGGUGUAGCGGUGAAAUGCGCAGAUAUCAGGAGGAACACCAGCGGCGAAGGCGGCGCUCUGGGCCGGAACUGACGCUGAGGAGCGAAAGCGUGGGUAGUAAACAGG
rnacentral:rRNA from 1 species